rnacentral:rRNA from 1 species
GACGAACGCUGGCGGCGUGCUUAACACAUGCAAGUCGAACGAUGAAGUUCCUUCGGGAAUGGAUUAGUGGCGAACGGGUGAGGAACACGUGAGAAACCUGCCUUUCAUUUUGGGAUAACUCCGGGAAACCGGGGCUAAAACCGAAUACUCCGUCUCGGCGGCAUCGCUGAGCCGGGAAAAAAUUUUGAUGAAAGAUGGUAUGGCGGCCUAUCAGCUAGUUGGUUAGGUAAUGGCUCACCAAGGCAACGACGGGUAGCCGGCCUGAGAGGGCGACCGGCCACACUGGGACUGAGACACGGCCCAGACUCCUACGGGGGGCAGCAGUGGGGAAUAUUGGGCAAUGGGCGCAAGCCUGACCCAGCGACGCCGCGUGAGGGAUGAAGGCCUUCGGGUUGUAAACCUCUUUCAGUAGGGAAGAAGCGAAAGUGACGGUACCUAAAGAAGAAGCACCGGCUAACUAUGUGCCAGCAGCCGCCGUAA